UCCCCAAUGGCGCAAUUGGUUAGCGCGCGGUACUCGUAAUGCCGAGGCUGUGAGUUCGAUCCUCACUUGGGGAA
rnacentral:tRNA from 1 species